GAAAAGAUGGUACUCCUCAGGCAGGAUGCAGGAGUGGGGGUAGAAGUUGUACUCCCCAGGCAGGAUGCAGGAGUGGGGGUAGAAGUUGUACUCCUCAGGCAGGAUCCAGGAGCGGGGAUAGAAGUUGUACUCCCCAGGUAGGAUCCAGGAGCAGUGGUAGAAGUUGUACUCCCCAGGCAGGAUGCAGGAGUGGGGGUAGAAGUUGUACUCCCCAGGUAGGGUCCAGGAGUGGGGGUAGAAGUUGUACUCCCCAGGUAGGAUGCAGGAGCGGGGGUAGAAGUUGUACUCCUCAGGUAGGAUCCAGGAGUGGGGGUAGAAGUUGUACUCCUCAGGUAGGAUCCAGGAGCGGUGGUACUCCUCAGGUAGGAUCCAGGAGCGGUGGUACUCCCCAGGUAGGCUCCAGGAGCGGUGGUAGAAGUUGUACUCCUCAGGUAGGAUCCAGGAGCGGUGGUACUCCUCAGGUAGGAUCCAGGAGCGGUGGUACUCCCCAGGUAGGAUCCAGGAGCGGGGGUAUAAGUUGUACUCCUCAGGUAGGAUCCAGGAGCGGUGGUAGAAAUUGUACUCCUCAGGUAGGAUUCAGGAGCGGUGGUAGAAGUUGUACUCCUCAGGUAGGAUUCAGGAGCGGUGGUACUCCCUAGGUAGGAUCCAGGAGCGGGGGUAGAAUUUGUACUCCUCAGGGAACAGCUCCUGCAUGGUCCUCACCGCUCGGCUCAGGUUGAUCUUUCUCAGCAUCUCUAUCAUAC
ensembl:lncRNA